rnacentral:rRNA from 1 species
AUCGAACGCUGGCGGCAUGCCUAACACAUGCAAGUCGAGCGAGCGGCGGACGGGUGAGUACUGGCUGGUAAACCGUCUGUUGGCGGCGGAUAACAACUGGAAACGGCAGCGAAUACCGCACUCCAUCCGAUUUGCCCAGGCGGUAUUAGCUAGUGGGUGGGGUAACGGCCCACCUAGGCGACGAACCAUAGCCGAUCUGAGAGGAUGAUCGGCCACACUGGAACUGAGACACGGUCCAGACUCCUACGGGAGGCAGCAGUAGGGAAUAUUCCGCAAUGGGCGCAAGCCUGAUGCAGCAAUGCCGCGUGUGUGAAGAAGGCCUUCGGGUUGUAAAGCACUUUCGUCGGGGAAGCGUUACCCGCAGAGGAAGCACCGGCUAACUACGUGCCAGCAGCCGCGGUAAUAC